UAAACUCCGGGAAACCGGGGCGUAAUGCCGGAUAAUAUUUAGAACGCAUGGUUCUAAAGCGAAAGAUGGUUUUGCUAUCACUUAUAGAUGGACCCGCGCCGUAUUAGCUAGUUGGUGGGGUAAUGGCUUACCAAGGCAACGAUACGUAGCGACCUGAGAGGGUGAUGGCCACACUGGAACUGAGACACGGUCCAGACUCCUACGGGAGGCAGCAGUAGGGAAUCUUCCGCAAUGGGCGAAAGCCUGACGGAGCAACGCCGCGUGAGUGAUGAAGGUCUUCGGACCGUAAAACUCUGUUAUUAGGGAAGAACAAAUGUGUAAGUAACUGUGCGCGUCUUGACGGUACCUAAUCAGAAAGCCACGGCUAACUACGUG
rnacentral:rRNA from 1 species